rnacentral:rRNA from 1 species
CCUACGGGGGGCAGCAGUGAGGAAUAUUGGUCAAUGGCCGGAAGGCUGAACCAGCCAUGCCGCGUGAAGGUCAGUGCCCUAUGGGCGUUAAACUUCUUUUGUGCGGGAGCAAUAAUGGUCACGUGUGGCCCGACGAGAGUACCGUACGAAUAAGCAUCGGCGAACUCCGUUCCAGCAGCCGCGGUAAUACGGGGGAGGCAAGCGUUAUCCGGAUUUAUUGGGUUUAAAGGGUGCGUAGGCUGGGAGGUAAGUCAGCGGUGAAAUGCCCACGCUCAACGGGGUGAAGUGCCAUUGAUACUGCCAGGCUGGAGUGCGGAUGCGGUAGGAGGAAUGUGUGGUGUAGCGGUGAAAUGCAUAGAUAUCACACAGAACACCGAUUGCGAAGGCAUCUCACGAAUCCGCGAUUGACGCUGAUGCACGAAAGCGUGGGUAUCAAACAGGAUUAGAUACCCUGGUAGUC